AUUGAGGGCCCCUGCCCUAAAGGCAUCAGAUCCCAUCUGAUUAUGGAAGCUAAGCAGGGCUGGUCUUGCUUUGUACUUGGACGGGAGACCACUAAAAGAUACCAGGCACUGUAGGUU
rnacentral:rRNA from 1 species